rnacentral:rRNA from 1 species
UACGUAGGGGUGCGAGCGUUGUCCGGAAUUACUGGGCGUAAAGAGCUCGUAGGUGGUUUUGUCGCGUUGUCCGUGAAAAACUCACAACUCAAUUGUGGGCGUGCGGGCGAUACGGGGCAGGCUAGAGUUCGGUAGGGGGAGAUCGGAAUUCCUGGUGUAGCGGUGAAAUGCGCAGAUAUCAGGAGGAACACCGGUGGCGAAGGCGGAUCUCUGGGCCGAUACUGACGCUGAGGAGCGAAAAGCGUGGGGGAGCGAACAGG